AAGUCGUAACAAGGUUUCCGUAGGUGAACCUGCGGAAGGAUCAUUAAUGAGUUAGGGUCUCCGGGCCCGACCUCCAACCCUUUGUUGUCACAAAACCAAUUGUUGCUUUGGCGUGGACCGCCCGCGAGGGCUGCCGGUCUUAGGCCCGGCAUGCGCCCGCCAGAGGAAAACCAAACUCUUGUAUUAAACCAAUCGUCUGAGUAUAAAAUUUUAAUUAAAUUAAAA
rnacentral:misc_RNA from 1 species